rnacentral:lncRNA from 1 species
GUGCUUGGGCGGUAGUUUGGAGACCCUGAGAGGGCAAUGCACCAGACAGGAAACUCGCCCUGGGUCUCUCACCACACCCCACCUGAGCUGCGGCAGGUGCCAUUGCAGGAGUGCAGCCACCACGGGACUGCACCCUGCCCUGGGAACCACAGCCCCCGUAUCUCCACAUCCCAGGAUCUCCUGCUGACAUUCCCCAGUGUCCACUGGACAGCUGCAAUGGUACAGCGCUGGCUGGACCCAAAAGGUGCUGCAGGGGCUCCAGUACUCUAGCCCACAGGGAGUACGACUCCCUAAGGAAAGGACGAAAGGCUGCAGCUGCUGCAAAAGAAACCAGAGCAAGUUUUCCAGAGCCCGAAGCUUCCUUUCCUGGGGCUGUGAGAAGUCACUCUGCCCCCAGCGGCAGCACAAACUCUGCUCCGCUUUGUAAGAGAAGAGAGAAGUCCCCAUCCAGAGGCCGAGCAGCAUCUGCACCUUGUGCUAACGCUGUAGAGAGUGAGACCUCUUCCCCUCUGCACACCGCUGCAGGCACAGCCACUGCCGCUACCCCCAGAGGUAGGGCAGGCAGGUUGGAGGGCUGCCUGUCUGGGGCUGUGAGGGGUGACUACCCCAUUGGAGUUGUGGCCUCCGUGCCCGGGCUUGCACAUGAAGGGAGGGGUGGGGUCCCUCCCACACUCUGCACGGUGCUGUGGCACUGCUGUAUCAGAGAGCAGGAGGGCCUGAGAGCUGCAGGUUUGGAGCUGUGGAUGGCGACUCGGCACCGCAGCCACAGCCAACACCAGUGCACACCGAUCAGGACCCAGAGGGUCUUCCUGCUACCGCCAUUGCCCACACCACGCCCACUGUCUAGAAACCCAAGAGCGGGCUCGCCCGCCUAGCCUACCGUUGCCACUACCAGACUCUAAGCAAGCUACUGGAGGUCCAAGGGUCCACUGGCCUGGGUCUGGUCCAGCUAACAUCAGCCAGCAUUCGCCCAGGGCCCAGCUCAGGCAUACUCAGCCCACUGCUGCCACCACUGGGGCCCAAAGACCGGCCCACUUGGCUUCCCUAUCCUCAGCAAAACUUUGCAUAGCCUCCACUAAUAACCCAACCCUAAACCACUGAGGAAAUCAAAAAUACUACUGAAACUGUUAACAGCUGAAGAAAUCAUAGAGUCUACACUAUCACAGGUAUCCAGAAGCAAAGCCAAAGUGCCCCACCCAACCAACACCAUUGAUACUCCUCAGGAAAAUGUCUUCCCUAUAAAAGCAAAUUCAAAAAACUGGAAGAAGUGAUUAUUACACUAGUUGAGAAGGUAUCAACGUAAGAAUAAGGGAAGCUUGAAAAAGCAAGGAAAUGACACCUCCAAAGGAACACAAUAAAUAAUUCCUCAGCAACAGACCCCAAUCAAAAAGAAAUUCAUGAAAUCCUGGAAAAAGAAUUCAAUACUAUUAUUAUUAUUUAUUAUUUGAGACUGAGUCUUGCUCUGUCACCCAGGCUGGGGUGCAGUGGCAUGAUCUCAGCUCACUGCAACCUCCACCUCCUGGAUUCAAGGGAUUCUCCUACCUCAGCCUCCUGAGUAGCUGGGAUUACAAGCGUGCACCACCACACCCAGCUAAUUUUUGUAUCUUUGUAGAAAUGAGGUUUCACCAUGUUGGCCGGGCUGGUCUCGAACUCCUGACCUCAAGUGAUCCGCCUGCCUCCGCCUCCCAAAGUGCUGAGAUUACAGGUGUGAGCCACUGUACCCGGCCAAGAAUUCAAAAUUAUGAUACUAAAAAAGCUCAGUAAGUUACAAGAGAAUUUCAAAAAAACAAUACAAAGAAAUCAGAAAAACAAUUCAGGAUAUAAAUGAGAAAUUAACCAAAG